GCUCGGACCUCCACCUCCCUCUCCCUCUCCGCUCCACACCAGAGCCUUGGCGGCCCGUUGCGAGCUACAGGUUCGAGACGGCAAGUCCGCCGCGUGUCCGUCUGAGUGGGACAAGUCGUCCUCGUUCUCGUCCCCGCUUGCCGCAGAAACUGACAGCCGGCUCUCUUCCCUCCCCCGCCGCAGAAUCGGAAUUUCUCCUCUCCCGCCGCCACCCCACCCCACCCCACCUCCGCCGUGACGCUUCCUCCUGGAUCCACCUAUUCGCGGCUUCGAUUCCCUUCAUUUGGACUCCGUCAGUCGAUCGAGAUACCUCCCUUCUCUUCUUGUUUUCCUAAUUUACUCUUUUCCUCUUCUUGCUUGUAUUAUUGCUCGUGCUCCUCUCAAUCCCCGCGUUAGGCCUAGCUGGGGCUACCGGAUCCAUCGGCCGAGCAUGGAGCCUUCAGCACAGGGAGAGCCCUCUACUUCUGCAUCGGUAUGUAGUACGCGUGUUGAUUUCUACUUCUGCUGUCACUACUUACCAUCUUCCUAUGCCUUGAAGAAUUUGAUGUUCAGAUAUUACCUGGGUCGGUUAGGAAUCAAGAAAAUCUUUUGUUGUCAUGAUAGGUAUGGUAUGAGGCAGCAUAGUUCUUGCCUAACUGCCUCCCAUACUGAACCUGAACAUUCAACUGCAUAUCCUUAUCCUACAUCAGUACCCCUCUUUGUUAUUUUUUUACAUAUUCAAAGUUCAGGUCUGAAGUAAGGCUUUGGUGACAUCAAAUUUACCACAUUGUAUCUGUAAAAAUGUAAGCAUGCCCCUCAGUCCGUCGCUAGCUCAAGUGUUGAAUUGAUCAACUUCAUGUACUAUAGAAUUUCUGCAACAUUAAACUUGGUUAUCACUUCAUUUAUCGCUUUUGGCACACGCCAUGCUUGGUUACUUCAAGAGAUUUUACCUACAUAUCGCCUUAGUAAUGGUGAACUCUCUUGAAGUAACAGAGAACAACAUACCAAGUGAAAUUACUAAGGCGAUAUGGUGAACUCUCUUCUGCUACUUCCUUACUAGCAUGCAGCUAUUUUUUCUUUGUAUACAUGUUUAUAGCAGAUAGUGAACACUAGCACUCCCACUUCGUUCUAUUACCACUUUGAUUCGUUACCAUUACAUUUAUUGCUCAAACUUGGUUAAUUUCCUUCUUUUGAGGUUGAGUUUAAUUUGCUAAAUGCCUACAACACAUGCAUUGUAUGUACUCCGAAAAUGUUGCAGAAUACUUAACCAGUUUUACGUUACUUGUAUUACUUCUAGCUUCACCCCUUGUUUGAAUGAUUGAAUUGUAUCACCUGCAGGCUAUGUGGCCAUGGGGUGGGAGUUGUAUCCAAGGGCAGUGCCGAGCUCCAAGCGUGAUUGAAUUGUAUCUCCGGCUGCUGAUUUCCUGCUGCUAGGGAGGCGUUGCUACUGCUGUUGGUCUUGGGGCGGCGAGGUGCCAGGCAAAGGAGGCGAGGAGCUGGGGGUGCGAGAUACUGGGACGAUCGUCAACGAGAUCAUGGGAUGAUCUACCGCGGUGCUUGCCGGAGGAGAUCAGGGCGGUGCUGACUGGGGGCGAAGGAGCUGCUGGGGUCAGUGAUGGAUCUGUGGGUUGAGGAGGUGCUGGGACGGCCAUGGAUCUGUGGGCGGAGGAGCUGUUGGGGACAUAUCGAUUUUUUGUUUGUAAAAUGAACAUACAGAAUGGCUGACGUGUCUAUUUGUGUUUCCAUGUGUUCGAAUGAAAUCUAAAGUACUAUUCAUACGUUUGA